GCGUGCCGGCCGGGGGACGGACUGGG
rnacentral:snRNA from 1 species